GACGUAGGGCGCGAGCGUUGUCCGGAUUUAUUGGGCGUAAAGAGCGUGUAGGCGGCUUGGUAGGUCCGCUGUGAAAACUCGAGGCUCAACCUCGAGAUGUCGGCGGAAACCACUUGGCUAGAGUCCGGAAGAGGAGAGUGGAAUUCCUGGUGUAGCGGUGAAAUGCGCAGAUAUCAGGAAGAACACCUAUGGCGAAGGCAGCUCUCUGGGACGGUACUGACGCUGAGACGCGAAAGCGUGGGGAGCGAACAGG
rnacentral:rRNA from 1 species